CCCGGUGGACUAAAAUGGCAAUGGUGAAACCUUUUUAGACCAACAGGCGAAAAAUGAAACCUUUGGACUAAACUGGCAAAAUGGCCCAAACCACAAGGACUAAAAUGACAUUUAACUCAUUUUGAAUGGUUAUAAUUUAAUACGUUUGUAUAUUGCGAGUGAGUACACUUUGGGCUAUGCUUGACCUUAUAUAUUAGCUCAGUUUUGAAGUUUAUCUCUAUGACCAGUUAGAGGCAUAUUUUAACCCAGUGGACCCGUUUGUAAAUGCAUGGUUUGAAGUUUAUCCCACAUAGGUUUGACUUUUUUGUAUGUACAUGUUUUUAUAGGUUUACAUGUCUGCUUUGCAUUCGACACCCUGGUGGCACGCGUGAAAACUUGGCGUGUUUUGCUAAUUGAGAUGCAGUAUAUAUUUUCUCUCACUAUUACUUACUAUUAUAAAGCUAAUAAUACGUAAGAUUUAGCUAUUUACUUAUCACGUUAUGUGUGUUAAUUCUAAAGAGAUUGCUAUUUCGGCCCAUUUACUUAUGAAUGGGUCAAAAUGGUUGUGCUUUAUCUUAAAUGGGUCAAAUAGAAAAAGGUAAAAUGGGAAUGGUUCAUACGGGUCAAACGGGUGAGAGUCAUGCAAAAUCUAUUACCGCAUACAAUAUCCUAUAUCGUCUUAUUCAAAGGUUUAUAUUAUUAUUGUAGUAUAAUAAUAAUGUGUGGUUUGAAUUUGGAGAAUCUGGGCAAGAAUCAUGGUUUGCUUUACAUAAAUGGCUGGAAUGUAUGUCCUGGUAAAGAAGAUUCUUAGACGAAGUUGAUUUGUUGUACAACGGUGCUCGUGUUGAGGCUGCUGAUGUAAGUGCUUACCGGGCAGUUCAUGUCGCAGCUCAGUAUGGUCAAACAUCCUUCUUGAAUUUAAGUAUGAUGCUGAUUUUAAUGUACCAGAUAAUGACGGAAGGACCCCUCUUCAUUGGUACCUUUUUAUUUCUGCAUCGACACUUGGAAUGUUAAAUUUCAACUUAUUUUUCUAUCUAUUCUCAAUUAGGUCUGCAUAUAAAGGAUUUGCAGAUACAAUUAGAUUACUUCUUUUUUUAGACGUAUUUCAAGGAAAACAAGAUAAAGAAGGGAACAAGGGGUUAAUCGGGCUUAGUUUAUGGAUAAUACGAAGUCGUAUCAACAGAGACGAGGGAGUUUCGUCCCUCUUAUCACCAACACAAAUGCUCUGGUCAAGUGAAAAUGGUACAAGUAACAGAGAUGACAAAGAGAAAGGUGUCAAUGUGCAAGUUGUUUUGAGCAUAUGUCACUCUCCACAUGUGGUUGGCCAAAUAGAAACUCAAUGUGAUUUCAUUUAGUAUUUUUAAUCUAGAAAUAAGACUCAAAAUAGUUUUUAACUUUUUGCAAUGAAUAUGUGAGAGAGAAUUUUAUAUAUAGGAUUA